rnacentral:misc_RNA from 1 species
UUGAUUGAUUGUUUUCAAUACUCCGACGCAAAGACGCAGUGUGUUGGGUUGGACCUCUGGGGGACUCCCGGGUGCUUGCACACGUCCGGCUCGCCCCCCGAGGCAACAGAUAUGAAUCGACAAAGGGUUGGGAGGUUGGGCGCGAGGGCCCGCACUCGGUAAUGAUCCCUCCGCAGGUUCACCUACGGAGA